AACGGGGGGGACUAGUGUUAGUCGCAUUGAUUGGGCGUAAAGGGUGCGUAGACGGUUUUUUUGAAUUGAAUUUGAAAAGUCCACUAUAGCUGUGGUAUCUGUUUGAUGAUCGUAAAACUAGAGUUGUGGGGGGGCCGGUUGUACUUGUUACUUAGAUGUAAUAAUCAAAGAGGUAUCAAGGACACACAGGGGCGAAGGCGACUAUCCAUCCAUUACUGACGUUGAGGCACGGGGGUGUGGGGAGCAAACGGG
rnacentral:rRNA from 1 species